GAUGAACGCUGGCGGCGUGCUUAACACAUGCAAGUCGAACGAUGAAGCCCAGCUUGCUGGGUGGAUUAGUGGCGAACGGGUGAGUAACACGUGAGUAACCUGCCCUUAACUCUGGGAUAAGCCUGGGAAACUGGGUCUAAUACCGGAUAGGAGCGCCUACCGCAUGGUGGGUGUUGGAAAGAUUUAUCGGUUUUGGAUGGACUCGCGGCCUAUCAGCUUGUUGGUGAGGUAAUGGCUCACCAAGGCGACGACGGGUAGCCGGCCUGAGAGGGUGACCGGCCACAAUGGGACUGAGAGACGGCGCAGACUCCUACGGGAGGCAGCAGUGGGGAAUAUUGCACAAUGGGCGAAAGCCUGAUGCAGCGACGCCGCGUGAGGGAUGACGGCCUUCGGGUUGUAAACCUCUUUCAGUAGGGAAGAAGCGAAAGUGACGGUACCUGAAGAAGAAGCACCGGCUAACUACGUG
rnacentral:rRNA from 1 species